UACUGCGAUGGAUUUACAGAA
ensembl:piRNA 21ur-3718 ncRNA